rnacentral:misc_RNA from 1 species
UGGGCUGACUAUGUCGACAAGAAGGUCAGUUAAUCAUUAGAUUAGGCCCUCUAAUUAAAUUCAUUUUCUUUAUCUAUAGAUUCUUUGAGAUUGUUGGAUUUAAGAAUUCUACUUCUGGGAUUUUGACAUAUGCAUGAAACUAAUAUUAGCUUAAUUUAUCAUACUUUCCUUGCAAUGGUUUCCACAGAUUUUCGGUAUAGGAUCGUCGA